GGGCUUUGGGGUUACUGGUUUAUACUGGUCCGUACCGGUUCUAACUGGUCCGUACUGGUUUAUACUGGUUUAUACUGGUUUAUACUGGUUCUAACUGGUCCGUACUGGUUUUUCCCCGCUCAGCUCUGGGAGGACGAGGCCACGCGGGAGCGAGCGCUGAGAGAGCUGGGAGUGCAGAGGCUGGGCACCCCUCAGGAGGUGGCGCAGGCCGUGCUGUUCCUCGUGUCCCCCCAGGCCUCCUACGUGGCCGGGCACACCCUGCUGGUGGCCGGGGGGGCGCGGCCUCGCCUCUGACCACGCCCACACGCAAAUCCAUGCAAAUUAGCUCGGGAAUGAAGUGGGUUCUAUCGAAAAUCUGCCCCAAAAUCUGCCCAAAAUUGCCCCCAAAAUCUGCCCCAGAAAUGUCCUAAAAUUGCCCCAAAAUUGGCCAAAUUUAUCCCAAAAUCUGCCCCAAAAUUGCCCCCAAAAUUGCCGUAGAAAUGGCCAAAUUU
rnacentral:lncRNA from 14 species